UACGUAGGGUGCGAGCGUUAAUCGGAAUUACUGGGCGUAAAGCGUGCGCAGGCGGUUCGUUGUGUCGGCGGUGAAAGCCCCGGGCUUAACCUGGGAAUGGCCGUCGAAACUGGCGAACUGGAGUGUGGAAGAGGGGGGUGGAAUUCCGCGUGUAGCAGUGAAAUGCGUAGAGAUGCGGAGGAACACCGAUGGCGAAGGCAGCCCCCUGGGCUGACACUGACGCUCAGGCAAGAAAGCGUGGGGAGCAAACAGG
rnacentral:rRNA from 1 species